UGUGAUAUGUUGUGGCAGGAACUGCAACAGAAAGAAAUUAACAUAUAACAGGAAGUUGCAUGAAGAAGCUCAGAACUGGCAUAGAAGGAUGACGUUCUACUUUAAAUUUAGGUGUAGAUCUCAGACAAAAUUGGGGGCCAUCUUGAGCUUAGUGAGCUGCCUUCAGAACCCAUCAGGAUCACUAUUACUGCUGGAUUUCCUGCCACCACAAAAAUUCAGGGGUUCCCUCCACUGUUUCAGUUGGUGGAAAAGUCAAAAGCUCUCUAUCAUUAUGUGCCAUCAAGUCAGAACCAACCUACAGCAACCCUAAUAGGGUUUUCAAGAUUUACAUUCUGUGGCAUGGAGAAGCAUGUACUGCAUGGCAGAACAUCUGGAGAGUUCAGGAUUUCAUAGCUAUAAUCUAAAGAAGUGUUAAGCUUCACUCAAAAGACAUCUUGAAUUCCAACAAAACUUUAUUUGGCGUCAGGGAUACAAAAAGCAACUAAGAACAAGGAGUGGAUGUAGAAACAUAAUACAUAAUAAAGUCAAGUC